GAUGAACGCUGGCGGCGUGCCUAAUACAUGCAAGUCGAGCGAACGGACGAGAGGCUUGCUUCUCUGAUGUUAGCGGCGGACGGGUGAGUAACACGUGGAUAACCUACCUAUAAGACUGGGAUAACUUCGGGAAACCGGAGCUAAUACCGGAUAAUAUUUUGAACCGCAUGGUUCAAAAGUGAAAGACGGUCUUGCUGUCACUUAUAGAUAGAUCCGCGCUGCAUUAGCUAGUUGGUAAGGUAACGGCUUACCAAGGCAACGAUGCAUAGCCGACCUGAGAGGGUGAUCGGCCACACUGGAACUGAGACACGGUCCAGACUCCUACGGGAGGCAGCAGUAGGGAAUCUUCCGCAAAGGGCGAAAGCCUGACGGAGCAACGCCGCGUGAGUGAUGAAGGUCUUCGGAUCGUAAAACUCUGUUAUUAGGGAAGAACAUAUGUGUAAGUAACUGUGCACAUCUUGACGGUACCUAAUCAGAAAGCCACGGCUAACUACGUG
rnacentral:rRNA from 1 species